AUGCCGCUUCUGGUACGAAGGAGCAGUGAUCCAGCUUUGGGCCCACCUGCUGACUUCCACCCAAGUGCCUCUCAUCCCAGUGACCUCAGUCACAAACAUGCUGUGGCAAAAGGUGGAAAUCCAUUGUAUCUGUAUAAGUGUCAGCUGGGAUGCAUUUGUGCAUCAAGCAGAAUAGAACUCACAGAUAGUGGGAUGGGCCUUCAAUCAUAUUUAAACCAACGUGUCAGUGAAAGUUUGGUGGGAUGCAGGAGUAAGCAGUGGGACUGUUUCUCUGAGUGUAUACUUCAUAAAUAAUGGGUCUUUCAGUUCUCACCCUCAGUGAGGUGAGUAAAUAGUAGCUUGCNAGGGAUUACCAAGUCAUGAUACGGUAAACCUUUAUUUAAAUAAGUC
rnacentral:lncRNA from 1 species